GACAGCCUGAUUUUCUCUUUGUCUAUCUCAUACUUUGUAUUAGAUUUUGUCCAUUAGUGCAUUUGUGUUUGAAUUGGCUUUGAUUUGCAUAUUUUAGCCAGAUUUAUCUUCAAAGAAACAAAUAUUUGCAUUCAAUUAAUUCUUAUACUGUAUUCAACUAACCUAUCAAACUGUUAUGUUCUCUUUUAAAAAUAAUUGUCACCAACCAUAUUGGGUUUUUUGAUUUGUUCUAAUUGCAUAAGCUGCUUGCGAUUCUCUUUCAUUAGUUUAUAGCAUUAAAAGCUCCACAACAGGAGAUUUAUCUGUAUGGGAACAAAAGAAGACAAAUCAAAUGAGUAUUCAAAAAAUUAAACAAAUCAAUUCUACUCGUCUUUCUUUUUCUUAUGAAAGAUACAUAAUUAGUCAUAGAGCGAAAGAUUUAAUAUAGUUCCUAGAGUUGUGUAUCAGUGUAUGUUUCUAUGAAAACCUUUCAUUUUAUAUAUUGGAAUUUGACACUGCUGUGCUGUUUUCAUUUCGGUGUGAGUGUUGGUUUGUGGUGUGAUGACAAAGUGAGAGGGAGUGUGAAUUUGAGCCACCACAGGAAUAUAGGACCAACACAGAAGAUCAGCCUCAAGCCAAAUGGUCGACCUGUCAAGGUUGGAUUCUUCUUCGCAGAACUCUCAGAUAUUGAUAUGGAGAACUUGAAGGCAGAUGUAUUUCAUUUAUUAGAAAUUGAUAUUUUAACAUUUAUUAGAUGUUUGAGAUGUUAAGGAUUGGAAUCCUAUUUUAAUUUAAAUUUAAUUUGAUUGAUAUUUUACAUUUACUAAUGUAAUGUUUCCUAUGAAGGAUAGGAAUUCCUAAGAUUGAAAUCCUAAUGUACAAUUAAAGAGAAAGAAACAAAGAAUUGUUUAAAUCUUCAUACACAGAGAUAUAGUCUGGAAAGCAUAGAGAGAUAGGUUGCAUACCCAUUACCCCAUAAUUGGUGAAGUUAUUGUUUUUGUUAUUGUCUUUUUUUUCUUUUUCGUUUUCAAAUUUGGGGAUUGAAUAUGAUUUGGGUUUGAAUUUCUUGGUUGGAUUGGUUUAGAUUCAGAUUUAGUUAUUUGAGUUAGAUUUGGUUUUGACUGACCGUUUAUGAAAUUCAUUGGGAUUAGUAUUUGUUUUUCUUUUGAAAACUGAGACUGCUAAGUUUUUUAUAUUGAAAGCACUGAUCAGCUUUGCAAUGCCUAAGAUAGUAAAUAUAUAGCCUAUUUUGUGGUGCUACUCAUUUUAGUGAUUUUAGGCAUUCUUUGUUAGAAAGGUUGUUUUAGAUAAUGGCAAAUCAGGCAAAGUUUGAUAGAAUUCCUAAAUGUGUCCGUAUGGCAUGAUCUAUUUUUCCACAUAAAUUAGUUCCUAAAUCCGUACUAGAGCUUUCUAUCUCCAGUCCCCUAAACUUUUAAAUUUUAAGUUUGGAAAGAUUCUCCCCCUUGCUAAUUUUUAUAGGUUAUUUAUAGUGUACAAUGCCAGUUUUACUGUUAACAUGGUCUUACAUUUCAAAUGUCUUAUUGACGUGAUUUGAAAUCAAAUACCUAAUACUAUAUAUAAAAGCAGAUGUU